rnacentral:lncRNA from 1 species
CAUCUCGGUUUAGGCCGAAGGGCAAUAAAAGGAAAGCUUGCCCAAACGCCAAAGCAGCCAAAAAGACCCCAGAAAUGGGUUCCAAAAGAGCACGAAGAAUAUGAUCUACGAGCAACUUUCUUUCUUACGAAAUCACUGAACAUCAACUCAAUUUCGAUCUAAAGCAAGUGAACGUCUCAAUUCUUUUUCUCGAGAUAGCGC